UAUUUUUUAGUCUUUUACAGAGAGAAACAAAAUCUUUAGCGUUCUUGAGAAAUAGUUAUUGUUUAGUAUUUUUCCAUCCCCUUGCAUAUAUAUCUGUUUUUCAGCAGAUUAUCAGAUUGAUAAGUAUUGAAAAGACACCAAUUUUUAAAACUGCAUAUACCAUACACACAGAAGAGUACACAAAUAAAGGUUUUCACAAAUUAAACUUAUGUCAUCAGCCCUCAGAUCAAAACACAGAGUUUAUGAGCACCACAGAAGCCCUGCCUCUUGUCCCUAUUUUAAAUUAUCUUCUUCCUCCCCAAAAGUAACUGCUAUCCUACUUCUAAAACCAUAGAUUAGUUUAGCCUGUUCUAAUUUUAUAUAAAUGUAAUCAUACAUAAUAUACUUUCUUCAUUCAUCAUUUUUGUGAAUAUAUUAGUUUCCUAUUGCCACUGUAACAAAUUAUCACAAACUUAGUGAUUUCAAACAACACAAAUAUAUUCUCUUACAGUCUUGGAGAUCAGAAGUCCAAAAUCAGUUCAUUGGACCAAAAUCAAGCUAUCAGCGGUAGGGUUGGUUCCUUUUGAGGUUGUGAAGGGAGAAUCUGUUUCCUUGCCUUUUUCAGCUUCUGGUUACUCCCUGUAUUCAUGGGCUUGUGGUCCUUUCCAGAUGAUCAAAGCCUGUUUUUGUCGUGACAUCAUCUUCUCUUCUGUAGUCAGAUCUUUCUGUGCCUAUAUGUUCAGAACCCACCCAGAUAAAUCAAGUUAAUCCUCCUAUCCCAAAUCUUUAAUUUAAUCAUAUCUGCAAAGUCUCUUGCUAUCUAGAGUGACAUUCACAGGUUCCAGGAAUUAGGACCCUGGAUGUCUUUGGAGGCCAUUAUUCAACCUACCAAAGUUAUUGCUCCUCAGAAGAAAUGCAAGUUUUAGGUUAGGGUAUCAAGUGGCCAGAGCCUAUUCCGGCAUCUCAGGGAGCAAGGUGGGAACCAGCCCUGGACAGGAUGCCAUUCCAUCACAGGGUGCACUCACACACCCACACUUGCUCAUGCUGAGACCAUGUAGACUGCCAGUUCACCUAACAUGCAUAUCUUUGGGAUGUGAGAAGAAACCAGAGCAACCAGGAAAACCCAUGAAGACAUGGGGAGAAUGUGUAAGCUCCACCCUAGCCAGAAGUUCUUUUUUUUUCUGAUCAACGUUAUAACAACAAUGUUAUUCAAGGACAUGCCGUAUAUGAUAAAUGUGACAUGAACCAAGAAGACGGACUCUUUUUGUAAUAAAUGUAAUAGAUUUACAGAUGUUAUUUGAUUUGCUCAUCAACUCUGUGAGGGUAGGUGUUCAUAGUCCAAAAUGAAAGACUGGUAACACGGGCAUAGCCUUAAAAAUAAUAGACAAUGAAUAUGCAAUUUUAAAAAAAUUAUGAAACUCCUUAUCUUAUGUAUAUGUAGUGAGUGUGGAGAAUAAUUUAGUACAUGCUGUUUCCUUUAAAUUUCAUGUUAUCUUAUAUGUUUCUUGCCUUUGUAUAUUUUAUAUGAAUAGCGUUUGUCACUAACAUAGACAGGGAGAAGGGAGGGAUUGCCAGAAUAAGUUUUUAGUGUGACUGAGAGAUUUUUAUUAGGAACUGGUGGUGGAGGGAGAGAGCUAGUAUCAGAAAGGAUAUGUCUAGCAAAGGAUAAAGAAACUAUGCUUGUUCAGGCAUUUAAGGAUCCUCUGACUACUAGAGGAGAAUAGACCAGGCUUAAAAUUGUCUGGUUAUGCACGUAUCUUCUAAUAAGUUUACUUCUUUUAUUGUGCCUAUAAAAGAUGCUGUUAACUUCAUAUUUAUAUCACUAAUAACCUUCUAGAAUUCAUGUAAUGGGGUAUAGUAGUGUGGUUAAGAUACGAAGAACAACAGUGAUACUUAUUUCAGAAAUAUUUAUUUAUUAUAUUACACAGGAUAGAGUAUGUUUUCUGAAGUUAAUAGUGUUAGAUUUACAUAUGCAGUUGCAUUAUACAUAAAAUAGUAGGCCUUAUGCAAUUAGAUGUCUUUAUUAUAAACAUGUUGUAAAUGAGAAAAUUAAGGUUCAAAGAACUUAAGUACAUUUGGCCCUCUCUAUCCACAGGUUCCACAUCCACAUCCACAGAGUCAACCAACUGUGGAUCGAAAAUACUUGGGAAGAAAAAAUAAUAAAAAAUAA